rnacentral:lncRNA from 1 species
AAUGAAGCCAAAACAGCUCUGUCAGCUUUUAUAUCUCCUCCUAAUGUUUGCACAAACAUAUACGGCUUUGAGGAAGUGAAUAUAACCAUAUUACUCUCACUGCAGUUUUAAAUCAGGGCAGUACUUAGUGUAGCUGUUAAGGUGGGAGGAUCUCUUGCUGAAUGAAUGAACAAUUUUCCCAGAUAUGUUUUGGUGGCACAGUCUGACGCACUGUGUUACCCAUGUGGAUGGUCUCCAUGCUGAUACCUGACUCUCUUGGACGUCUUUGGUGGAUUCCUCCGACAGCCACCUCCAGGCUCACUGGAGCGCAAGGGUACAGGGACUCCGCUGCCAGCGCCAGCAAGUACGUUUGAAGCAAGGCUGAGGCAAGGCCAUCAAAAUGGAGAUAUGCUGAAGAGGGCACGUGGUCUCUCUUUUAAAUGGGAUGUCCAGCAAAUGGAAGGACAAUCUAAAUCCCACCAAGGGCCGGGUUCCUCAUGUGGAAGACUGGUUGAAGGGCUGCUUUAAAAAAUGUUCCUAGUGGACAGAGGGAAAAAGAAGACAUUUCAGAGGCUGGAGUUACAGCAAAUACUGCUUUCAGGACAUGGAAGAGAAAGGGGGAUGGAAAGCACAUUAGGCAGGCUACGUCUCCAGAGACCUCCUCCUUUACUCCCCGGCCUCAGUGCAGCAGUACCAGGUUGAAACCCAGCACAGGAAGAUGAAUGAAGUGGAGACGAGAGCCCCUGAGGACAAAGAGCAGCACAGCUGGAAGAAGAGGACGUUUUCUCAGAGGUACCACCAGUGCGCUACCACCUAGGAACGUCUACCUGGGGUGGUGGCACAUCAACUGGAAAUACCUACCUGCUGCCCCAUGGGCAUGAAAUACCUGCAUGCCUGCCAUAUACAGCUUUGCAGUCCCACCUGAGUUGGUGAUACCUAUAACGUUGGUACCUCUUCAGAUGCAACUGUCGUGCCCCUCUUCCGGCUUGUGGGCUGGAGCAGUGGGGCCAUCGUUCACAUGAGUAGGCCUCAUCGUUCACAUGAGGAGCAAGAAAGUGGGCAACCAAGCUGAUGUUGGCAGCAAACGCAGGCUAAGUCCAGGCUACAGCAGGUCUGAGAGGAGGUAAAUUCA